GGUGGUGCUAUCGGUGGUGGAGGCAUUAAUUGAUUGUGGUAAUGGAUUUGGUGACAUAAUCGUGGCUAAUCAGUAAAACCUUAUGAGAUGAAUUAAUCAUGCGCAAUGAAUUAGGAAUCUACCAUUGUUGAGAGCUUGCUGCUUUGGGUUCCUUUAUCAACUUCUAAAUAUUGUACCUAUCCGAAUAAUUCCUUUUAUCAGAUUUUUCGUAAUGUUGCUUAAAGUUAGCAACCAUAUGUUCAUUAUUUUUAUGGUAAACUAGUUAGAAAUGUAAUCGGAGAAGAUGAUUCU
rnacentral:misc_RNA from 1 species